AUGCGGCCCGUGGACGCGGACGAGGCGCAGGAGCCCGAGCUGGACUGGGCGAGGGUCCGGAGCCCCGCGCCCGCCGCCGCCCGCCGUGACGUCAGCGCCCUCGAGCGCGAGCACGUGCGCGCGCACCUGCGGGCCCGCCGGCGGCUGCGGGAGAUCGAGAGCCUGCUGGACGCCAUCCACAGCGAGGUGGAGGCCUCGGAGGAGAGCGCCCUGGACCCGGCGCGCAGCCCCGGCGCCGAGGCGGAGGAGCGGGUGGUGAAGCUGUGCGAGCAGGUGGAGAAGAAGGCGGCGGAGGCCGCGCGGAUGGGGAAGCGCAUCGUGGAGAUCCACCAGCAGAUCGACAGCCGCGAGUGCUGCUGAAGGCGCGGCGCCGGUGCGUGUCGGGCCGCGGGCAGCCGGCUCGCGGGAGUGAUGGGUGACGCCCCGCGCCGACAGGCUUCGGCCGUGGGUUAUCCGCUGAUGGGCUCGGCCGGUAAGGAGGACUGACCACUUGGAGAGGCUGGAACCACGAGGCUUUCUUUUUCCUCCCUCCUGGUUCUCUGUCUGCGUUUCCAUCAUGGCAAAGGCAUCUCCAGGCCCUUCUGGGAGAUGUGUUCAGUGUUACGGUGUCAUACGUGCAAUAGGAUUACUUGGUGCAUUCGGUUUGGAAAAGACAGCGUAGGUGUCGUUUUACUUUUUAUUAAAUGCUCUUCCAUGAAAAAUGGGGCCUAGAUUGUCAGCUGCUGUGUGGUCAUAUUCGUUACCGUGACUGUUGUGUUUUUAAAGUUUGCCAGUACACGCUUGUGCUCUGCUAUUUUUUAUGCUUCCUGGAGUUUGGGGACCCACGAGAGAGACUUGAGGUCAGCGUUCUGCAGGAGAGAAGACACACCUUGGCUGCAGCUGCUGAAGCCAGAACCCAAGUCCCGAUGGAGGGUGUGCGCGAGGGCCCCUCCCUGGAUAAGAUGGAGCCGGCCCAGAGGACGGCUGGCGUGGAGAGUGGUGGUGUGUGAAUUUUGGGACUACACAGUCCGGCAGAUCAAGGCAGGAGGGCUGUGUCCUGUUUCUUUUCCUUCUUUUUUUUCAGAAAUGUAAUUUUUUCUGUGGCACGUUAAUUGGUGUACAUCAUGUAACCUGUCUGGUGAGUAACCUAGGGUAGGGGACGAAUUCUUGUCACUACACGUAUUUGGUGACUUUUUUAUAUAAUACAGUCGUGCAUUCACGGCUUCUCGGCCACAAAUGCACAUGCUCUGGAGGAGUUGGGGAGGAAAGCGAGGAGCCUGGGGCCACGGUGGGCCCAGGCUGAGAGCACGAGGCCCCUCCCAGGCUCAGACGACCCUAGGCCAUCGGCGCAGACUUCACCGGGACUGAGGUCAGAGCUCACGCUUGUUGUGAUGAAGUUCAUUUGCCUGGAAAACCAAUUUUUAGAAUCUUUGUACAAAUGACCAAAGCCAUUGAGUUGGCCAGAAAAGGUGAGGUAAAUAAAUUUAUUUCAAAAUGCAA